rnacentral:tRNA from 1 species
AAGGGUGUAGCUCAGUGGUAGAGUGUGUGCUUAGCAAGCAUGAUGUCCUGGGUUCAAUCCCCAGUACCUCCA